rnacentral:rRNA from 1 species
GAUGAACGCUGGCGGUAUGCUUAACACAUGCAAGUCGAACGGACUCUUCGGAGUUAGUGGCGGACGGGUGAGUAACGCGUGAGAAUCUGGCUUUGGGUUCGGGACAACCACUGGAAACGGUGGCUAAUACCGGAUGUGCCGAGAGGUAAAAGAGAAAUUGCCUGAAGAUGAGCUCGCGUCUGAUUAGCUAGUUGGUGAGGUAAAGGCUCACCAAGGCAGCGAUCAGUAGCUGGUCUGAGAGGAUGACCAGCCACACUGGGACUGAGACACGGCCCAGACUCCUACGGGAGGCAGCAGUGGGGAAUUUUCCGCAAUGGGCGAGAGCCUGACGGAGCAAUACCGCGUGAGGGAAGAAGGUUCUUGGGUUGUAAACCUCUUUGCUUAGGGAAGAACAAAAUGACGGUACCUAAGGAAUCAGCAUCGGCUAACUCCGUG